GGAAGCGCAGAGUCGGGGAGUUAUUCACGGCUGAGCGGUCUUCCUCCGCGACAAGAGGCGCUGGACGCGUUCAGUUACACCCCCUCAGAUCCCCACCUGAGCACUCCUGGAGGACAGAGCGCCUCAUACUACCGAGUUCUAUCAUGCCAUGGAUCACACUGGUGCUUGAGUAAACAGCGCACUACAGCAACUGUCUCCUUGAAACACCAUCCCGCAUCGCGCGAUGGCCUUGGACCAGUGGAACACAUUUCAGGAAGUCGGGUUAUCGUUUCCUGUGUGAGCACAGACGGCGGCGAGGAGCCCAUACUGUACUCUUCAGUUGAUGUCGAGCUGAGGCCCUUUUCUUCAGCUGAAUAAAACACAAAAUAUACAAGAACUACAAACACCAUGAACAGAAGCUGAACAGAGGGGAAAUACAAAACUUUCACUUCGUUUAAUUUUGGAGAGAAUUGGAUUCCAAUUCCAGGGGAAUUUACAGCAUUUGAAAUCAUAUGGUUCUCGUCCUGGUGAAAAUCCCUUAAGCAUAACGGGAAUGUUAGAACGUCCCAGGUCAGAAAGGAGGAGAAUCACACAGUACUUACUGUCCAGUUCUAAUCCACCCUCAAUCAGCCAUGAUAUUCUGCGACUGACACCUUCGGCGUCCAUGAAUGAUCAUAUCAAUCCACUGGAACCUAAGCCUCGACUGAAUCGCCCUGCACAAGAAGAUAACAAAGGAGAGCAGGCCUUCAGGCCCGUCUGGCUGAUUUGAUGGUACUGGACUCAGCGUCUCAAAGAGGUCUUUUCUGGGCUUUCUUUUCGCCAUUGCCUUAACUGAAGGGGUGUGUGGACAGGAACCCCCUGCACAGGACUGUUCUUGCUUUCAGAUACCGCAGAGGGGGCCACGCUGAAAAGGUUCCACAGAGACUGGUCGAAGUGGAAAGUUGACUGAUUCAGAAUAAGAGUGUCAGGGCUGAGAGUCUAGGGUAGUCAAACCAUAGCUGACACAGAGCCCUGUCUGGUUUCCCACCAUGCACAGGAAGCGCGUAGUGCAGAGAUCCCAGAUGUGUUGUUUAAUGCCUACCGAGGGCCUAGGGAGAUCACGACACCCCUUCCGGACAGUGGUCAAGCCUCAGACUGAGUCAGAAGAGUCAAUAGACAAAACCACAGUUCGUUUUUGUGUCUGUACUGGCCCAAUCGACCCUGAAACACGGGACACAGAUGUCCAGUGUGGUGAAUUACUGGUUCCAUUGCAUGAUUGUGUACUGGGAACAACAAGUGUGAAAAUGUCUCAGCGGACAAAAACCAUUACCAUUCUGACAUACAGUAUUUGCCUUGAGAAUCCGAAGCUUACAGAAUAUCACUUGAAUAUCUAAUUUCAGAAAAGCGAGACAGAGAGACAGCAGCCUCAGAGCCAUGUUCAUGCUGUGUGUAACAAUCCCACAACAUCAAAUGCACUUCCUCUGUCUGCAGAGCUGUGAGAAGACUUAUAAAAUGAGGGGGCUUCCGUGACAUCAUGAGCUCAACUGAGGUAACGGGUUUUCCGAACGACACUACAGACAAGUCCACGCUCAAGUACGAGGGAGUAAUGUUUUUAUUUAUGUCUUGUGUGCAAGUGAAGUCUCACCUUUAUUACACUAGAGUGAUCAUUUAACCAGAUUUCACAUUUAACCUGAUUUUUCCCUGAUUGUUCUUUUUUGUUUUGUUUUUGUAACCAGAAAUACUAAUAAAUAUAACUGCUACACAAUGGCAGUUUCACUGCAGCUGAUUCAGUCACUCCUGUAAUAAACAGACCCUAUCUUGAGUAGGGGGACAGUGAGUUGUCACCCCUCCUUCGGUCAGGGAAGACCAGUGGAGAGGCAAACCCCAAACACACAGCAGGCCUGCUGGCCACAGCACCUUUCAUCACGCUUUCCUUGCCAGCCGUGUUGAUUGAUUAACGAGGCAGCGCAGCGGCGACGUGGUGGAGUGAGGGAAGGGAAAAAGUGUUGUUUCACCUUCCUCAAAAAAAAAAGUGGGAAAAGCCCGAGUCACACAGCGAAAACUGCAAGACAAGCAGGCACAACUCCAAAAGAUGAGGACGGGCAUAAACCACAAGAGAGUGUGGACAUCCAGGUGACACAACGGGAUUCACCAGACCAGUCCUCCACAAGCAGGGAUGUGUCA